rnacentral:tRNA from 1 species
GGCGGUGUAGCUCAGCUGGUGAGAGCGCGCGACUCAUAAUCGCGAGGUCGAGAGUUCAAGUCUCUCCACCGCUACCG